rnacentral:rRNA from 1 species
CCUACGGGUGGCAGCAGUGGGGAAUAUUGCACAAUGGGGGAAACCCUGAUGCAGCGACGCCGCGUGAAGGAUGAAGUAUUUCGGUAUGGAAACUUCUAUCAGCAGGGAAGAAAAUGACGGUACCUGACUAAGAAGCCCCGGGUAACUACGUGCCAGCAGCCGCGGUAAUACGUAGGGGGCAGGCGUUAUCCGGAUUUACUGGGUGUAAAGGGAGCGUAGACGGUAUGGCAAGUCUGAUGGGAAAACACGGGGCUCAACCCCGGGACUGCAGUGGAAACUGCCGAACUAGAGUGUCGGAGAGGAAAGUGGAAUGCGUGGUGUAGCGGUGAAAUGCGUAGAUAUUAGGAGGAACACCAGUGGCGAAGGCGGCUUGCUGGACGCUGACUGACGUUGAGGCUCGAAAGCGUGGGGAGCAAACAGGAUUAGAUACCCCUGUAGUC